CCUGGUGGUUCAGACGGUAAAGAAUUUGCCUGCAAUGCAGGAGACCUGGGUUCGAUCCCUGCAUUAGGA
rnacentral:tRNA from 1 species